rnacentral:ncRNA from 1 species
CAAAAGCUUGGUCCUGACUUUUCUGUCAGCUUUGGCUAAAUUUACACAUGCAAGUAUCCGCACCCCCGUGAAAACACCCUUUUAUCUCCCCAGAGAACAAGGAGUGGGUAUCAGGCACACGAAAGUUGCCCACGACACCUAGCCCAGCCACACCCCCAAGGGAAACAGCAGUGAUAAACAUUAAGCAAUGAGUGAAAACUUGACUUAGUUAUCAGCCACCACAGGGUUGGUUAAACUCGUGCCAGCCACCGCGGUUAUACGAAUAACCCAAGUUGACAGACAUCGGCACAAAGCGUGGUUAAGAAAGUACUAAAAUAAAGCCGAACACCCUCAGAGCUGUUGUACGCCCCGAGAGCAAGAAGCCCACCCACGAAAGUGGCUUUACCCCACCUGAAACCACGAAACCCAUGAAAACAAACUGGGAUUAGAUACCCCACUAUGCUUGGUCGUAAACAAAAAUACUUCAUCCUAUUCGCCAGGGUACUACGAGCACCAGCUUGAAACCCAAAGGACUUGGCGGUGCUUUAAACCCACCUAGAGGAGCCUGUUCUAAAACCGAUUACCCCCGUUAAACCUCACCCUUGCUUGUCAUCCCCGCCUAUAUACCGCCGUCGUCAGCUCACCCUGUGAAGGGCCCAAAGUAAGCAAUAUUGGCACAGCCCAAAACGUCAGGUCGAGGUGUAGCGUAUGCAAGGGAAAGAAAUGGGCUACAUUUGCUUAUACAGCACACACGAAUCACUCAAUGAAAUAUGAGUAUGAAGGAGAAUUUAGAAGUAAGCAGAAAAUAGAGCGUUCUGCUGAAACAGGCCCUAAAGCGCGCACACACCGCCCGUCACUCUCCCUAAUGUUAUAACUCUAUAUCCAUAAAAAGAAUAAUUAGACAAAAAGGGAGGCAAGUCGUAACAUGGUAAGUGUACCGGAAGGUGUACUUGGACAAAC